GACGAACGCUGGCGGCAUGCCUAAUACAUGCAAGUCGAGCGAACAGAUGAAGUGCUUGCACUUCUGACGUUAGCGGCGAACGGGUGAGUAACACGUAAGGAAUCUACCUAUAAGCGGGGGAUAACAUUCGGAAACGGGUGCUAAUACCGCAUAAUAUCUUCUUCCGCAUGGAAGAAGAUUGAAAGACGGCUCUGCUGUCACUUAUAGAUGACCUUGCGGUGCAUUAGUUAGUUGGUGGGGUAACGGCCUACCAAGACGAUGAUGCAUAGCCGACCUGAGAGGGUGAUAGGCAACAUUGGGACUGAGACACGGCCCAAACUCCUACGGGAGGCAGCAGUAGGGAAGCUUCCGCAAUGGGCGAAAGCCUGACGGAGUAAUGACACGUGAGUGAAAAAGGCCUUCGGGUCGUAAAACUCUGUUAUAAGAGAAGAACAAAUUGUAGAGUAACUGCUACAGUCUUGACGGUAUCUAAUCAGAAAGCCACGGCUAACUACGUG
rnacentral:rRNA from 1 species